UGGGGAAUUUUUGUCAAUGGGGGCAACCCUGAACAAGCAACGCCGCGUGGAGGACGAAGACCUUCGGGUUGUAAACUCCUGUCGGAGGGGACGAAAGCUGUCGAGGUUAAUACCCUCGGCUGUUGACGGGACCCUACGAGGAAGCCCCGGCUAACUCCGUGCCACCAGCCGCGGUAAGACGGGGGGGGCAAGCGUUGUUCGGAAUUACUGGGCGGAAAGGGCGCGCAGUCGGGCGAGUAAGUCCUUCGUGAAAGCCCACGGCUCAACCGUGGAAUUGCGGUGGAAACUGCUCGUCUUGAGUCCGGGAGAGGAGGGUGGAAUUCCCAGUGUAGCGGUGAAAUGCGUAGAUAUUGGGAGGAACACCGGUGGCGAAGGCGGCCCUCUGGACCGGUACUGACGCUGAGGCGCGAAAGCCAGGGGAGCAAA
rnacentral:rRNA from 1 species